rnacentral:lncRNA from 1 species
GGGCUGCUGGAGUUCUCAGGCGGCUCUGAGGCUGCCAGCUGGCCAUUCCUGCCCUCUGCCAUUCUUGUGAAUUUCAACAUGUAUCUGACCUUUCAGAACUCAGUUUGUGUUAGUGAUUCUGAACUUGAAGCCUGGGGAUACUCAGUUUUAUCUUGCUAUCCUUUACACUUGUCUAUGUAGCUUUGAGAAUUAUCUAGAGAGAUUCAGUAUGUGAGCUUUAAAAGAUAUUUGAUAUUUUUAGCACAUUUGCCCAUCAUAGAAAUUGAGACUAGCAGACCAUUUCCUGGGGGGGAAAUGAUUUAGCUGUACUAUGAUUUUGAGUUUGUUAAUAAUAAGCUAUAGUUUCCAUGACUUUAGUAUCAUUAAAAUUCACUUUAAAUAAUUCACAUUUCUGCUAUGCAGUUAUUGCUAUUACAUAGACCAGAUAAUGCUAUAAGGAAAUACUUAAGGGUUUUCUUAUUGAACACUGCUAUUAAAGCUGUAGCAAGCUCUUCAGGGUACACAGUUGUGCUUGAGAAAAUGUGAUUUGCAGAUUUUAUGCUGCGGAGGCAUUUUACUGGUUGUAAUCAGUAUUACGUUUGUCAUAAUUAUAACUGGCAUUCCUUUGCAGUUGAUAGUGUUCUCUGUUUUUCAGGUCCUCAUGAGCUGGAGUAUGCAAAACCGUGUUUGUUCGUUUUGAGAUUUGAGGAAAUAUGAGUUUCACCCCUCAUGUGGUGUAGAUUUAUAAAGGCUAAGUGGGCCCUUGCUACUUGCAUGUGUGAAACCAGGAACUGUGCUCUUUCUGCUUUAUUAGUAGCCUAUUAUGCCAGAGGGGAUCUGACUGCAGCAUCUGAGCAAUCAAAACUAUUCCUGUAACUCCUGGAAUGAAUAGAAUGCAUCCAAAACUUCAUGCCGGGACAGUCUUUUCUAGUAGCGCCCUGUUUUUUUGGAGAGAGCCUAACAGGAAAGAGUUUCAAUUUAGACCUCUAUUAGAUGUCUGCCAUGUUUACUGAACAUGAGGCUCUUAUUCUGGGCCUCCAUGGGAAACACAUUUUCCCCGGCAUUUCUUUAAUCUCAGCUAGAUAGGUGGUUAGGAGGCAGAGAUCAAAAACUGACACUUCAGGAGUUUCCCUUUUGUUAGACUCAAAGGAGGGCUGCACCAAAGUGGCAAGAAUUGGUGGGUGUGCAUUUUAGUUGCAGAAUCUCUUCUGUAACUGUGCAGGAAUGUGACACACUCACUGGGCAGCAGAAAUAUUUAAAGAAACUGAGUUAGUUAAAAAAUGCCUACCAAGCAAAUGUUGAACUUGAGGAGGACUGGCAGUCUUCCAGCCCUGUCGGAGAACAUACUGAUACUUUCCCAAGAAUAACAGCAUAGUGGGAUGCCUAAACUAAUUUGCAUAAGAACACUUCUGCAUCCGGAUCCUGCUAAAACUUUGUCCAGGUCUACAGAAGAGAUGGAAAGUUUCAGACAUGCAAGUAGGGGUGGCUGAAUCUAUCCAUUUCUCUUUCUCUCUAUUUCUCACUUUACCUGUUACUUUUCAUUUUACGUUCAGUUGUCCACAUUUCCAUAUUAGUUUGUGAAUUUCUUUUCUCAUGAAAAUUCAUCAGCAUUUCAGUUCAAAUUUCUCCUAGCAUGCACAAUUUCCCUUAAUAUAAUGCAUCAUGGUAUGUUAUUUUGACUUGUAUAUGCAUUUGUAUGCAUGCAUUUUCGUACACAUUACUUGGCUAGAGAACUGCAUUGCAAAUUUCGAAAAGUGUGAAUUUUGAAAGAUGGCUGUGUUUUUUCAGUAUUGUUUUGGAAAGUGUGAAUUAGAGAACUUCAUAUUUAAAUGCAAACUGAGCCAAAUUUCUAUCCCAUCUCAACAUUCAAGACAGUUCAAUUAACAGAACCGUGUUCUUAUAUGGUUGAGCUUCUUGCAUGGUCAAUUGUUCUUCAAGUCAGGAGUUCACCAUAUGUCUCCCUAACCUUGGCAAUUUUACAGGGCAAUGUUCAUAUGGAUAAAAAUGUUGUUGAAUAAAAUUUCCAGAUAUAUUGAGCACAACCUAGCCUCUCUUUCACAUUGAGCAUGAAUGUUUUGCUAUUAUUGGAGGAAAAUUUUGAAGCUGCUGGUGGUAUCUCAGGAUAGUGGUGGAUUAGUGUGGUUU